UACGUAGGGGGCAAGCGUUGUUCGGAAUUACUGGGCGUAAAGGGCGCGUAGGCGGCAUGGCAAGUCAGACGUGAAAUCCCCUCGGCUUAACCGGGGAACUGCGUCUGAUACUGGAUGGCUUGAGUUCGGGAGAGGGAUGCGGAAUUCCAGGUGUAGCGGUGAAAUGCGUAGAUAUCAGGAGGAACACCGGUGGUGUAAACGGCUUUCUGGACCAUAACUGACGCUGAGGCACGAAAGCGUGGGUAGCAAACAGG
rnacentral:rRNA from 1 species